UCAUAGCUCAGUCGGUAAAGAAUCUGCCUGCAAUGCAGGAGACCCAGGUUCAGUUCCUGGGUUGUGAA
rnacentral:tRNA from 1 species